UGCAGUCGAGCGGAAACGACAUUAUUGAUUCUUCGGAGGAUUUAAUGGGCGUCGAGCGGCGGACGGGUGAGUAAUGCCUAGGAAAUUGCCUUGAUGUGGGGGAUAACCAUUGGAAACGAUGGCUAAUACCGCAUAAUGCCUACGGGCCAAAGAGGGGGACCUUCGGGCCUCUCGCGUCAAGAUAUGCCUAGGUGGGAUUAGCUAGUUGGUGAGGUAAUGGCUCACCAAGGCGACGAUCCCUAGCUGGUCUGAGAGGAUGAUCAGCCACACUGGAACUGAGACACGGUCCAGACUCCUACGGGAGGCAGCAGUGGGGAAUAUUGCACAAUGGGCGAAAGCCUGAUGCAGCCAUGCCGCGUGUAUGAAGAAGGCCUUCGGGUUGUAAAGUACUUUCAGUUGUGAGGAAGGGUGUGUAGUUAAUAGCUGCGCAUCUUGACGUUAGCAACAGAAGAAGCACCGGCUAACUCCGUGCCAGCAGCCGCGGUAAUACGGAGGGUGCGAGCGUUAAUCGGAAUUACUGGGCGUAAAGCGCAUGCAGGUGGUUCAUUAAGUCAGAUGUGAAAGCCCGGGGCUCAACCUCGGAACUGCAUUUGAAACUGGUGAACUAGAGUGCUGUAGAGGGGGGUAGAAUUUCAGGUGUAGCGGUGAAAUGCGUAGAUAUA
rnacentral:rRNA from 1 species